rnacentral:rRNA from 1 species
CACCUACGGGAGGCUGCAGUCGAGAAUCAUCCGCAAUGGGCGAAAGCCUGACGGUGCGACGCCGCGUGGAGGAUGAAGGCCUUCGGGUUGUAAACUCCUGUCACAGGUUAAGAAUGUCCUAUCAUUAAUAGUGGUAGGGUUGACGUAACCCUGAGAGGAAGCACUGGCUAACUUCGUGCCAGCAGCCGCGGUAAUACGAACCGCACGAACGUUAUUCGGAAUCACUGGGCUUAAAGGGUGCGUAGGCGGUCCUGUAAGUUGGGUGUGAAAUCCCUCGGCUCAACCGAGGAAUUGCGCUCAAUACUGCAGGACUUGAGGGAGAUAGAGGUAAGCGGAACUCAGGGUGGAGCGGUGAAAUGUGUUGAUAUCGACCGGAACACCAAAUGCGAAGGCAGUCAACUGGGGCAUUUCUGACGCUGAGAGACGAAAGCGUGGGUAGCAAAAAGGAUUAGAUACCCUUGUAGUCCACGCCCUAAACUAUGGACACUAGCUAUUUGAAGUGUCGACCCUUCAAGUGGCGAAGCUAACGCGUUAAGUGUCCUGCCUGGGAAGUACGGCCGCAAGGCUAAAACUCAAAAGAAUAGACGGGGCUUCACACAAGCGGUGGAG